GUACCACUAGAUAACACAAAAAGAAGUGUCCACUAAUGAGGCCUCAGUCGGGCAAAAUGAAGGUCCAGUAAACCCAAAUGAGGACACAGGGUCUCAGGAAACGUACAAUGUGAACAUUUUCUUGUGUCGACUUGGCAACUCUUUUGGUAAUCGAUUAAUCCUUGAAGUCAUUAUUCAGGCAGAAAUAGGCUACCAACUGACCCCUCACAUUUCAGGGAUACACUGUUAGAGCCGUUUUAGUAACUCCUAGUUUCCUAUUAUUUUUUGAGUCACUCUAACGCACCACCUGACCUAGCAUCCGGGAACCUUUGAUUUCAUCCAGGUGUGCUGAGGUGAGUGUGCAGCGUGGAUGGAAGACACCACGGAGUUUCAGUCUUUAACCGCCGCGUGGUUGGUUAAUCUUAGUUUUAAUUGUUUGAUGAAGUUUAAUACCAGAUUGAUUUGAACUCUGUUUUUGUAAAGCCUGUUUGUUUGGGGAGUUUUGUUUUCAUUUUUUUGGACGCCACAGUCAAGACAACCAGUUCAUGGCGUCAUCCUGCAUCUCUCCACACAUCCUGCAAAUCAGUCAACUCUGAACCAAGUGAAGCACGUGGGUCAUCAAACAUGUGUCGGCAGCAGCUGAUCUGUGGUCAGGUUUGUUUCUGAGGAUGACUAUGAGGAAGCUGAAGAUUCAUCAGUGACGCGCCCUCAGGUAGUCUGAUGGAGCAGCAGUACGGUGAACACAUUGUCCUCUGACUCCACCCACGCUUCUCCCUUCAGUUCCAGCCUCACCUCCUCCCCCUCCCUCAGCGGCAGGAGGCCCACACCGGUGACCAGCCC